AUGACUCGUAAGACCAGGCUGCAAACUAUUCUCACAGACUUCAAAUGUGCACUUGAAUCCAAAAAGAUAGAAAACGAUCUCUCUCUGUCUCUCCCUCCGGCUCUGUUUACGUGCCACUGGGAGAGUAAAGACUGCUCCUCCCCCGUCUGCUCAGCAAACAGGAGGGGAAAGUGUCUAGUCUUACAUCUGAUUGCCUAUCCUGCCCAUCAUCAUGCUACUAGCAGAGUUUCGCUAUUACAGAUUUCACAACAACCAGCUAAAGUGGCCGCUGACAACAAGCCAGUUAACCUGAGCCUCUUUCUCACAGUAGGCAGAAGACACAUCCAUGCAUUUCACAAUAACUACUGGAGCUACUGCAAAGUUGGAACCCAAUUCCAGAUUGACGGCAGAGAUGGAGGAGUGUGUGUGGAAUGGAGAAGCUGUCCCUGAGUGACUGGCGCCGAGAACCGUCACAACAGUUGCUAAAACAAAAUGAAACUGAUGUGCAUGAAAUCCUGUGUGUGUGUUGGGUAUUUAUCACAGACCGAUUUCAAUAACUGUCAAUAAACUCUUUAUUUUACACAUUCUCACGUCUCUGUCUGAUGUAUAACAGAGCUGAGUACCUUCUUGGUAAAUUUGCACUAGAUAUUCCCAGGGUGGCGUUGUCAUGUUUUGACCACCACCACCUUAGUGUGUGUGUGUGUGUGUGUGUGUGUGUCUGUUGCCCUUGCUUUGCCACAACAACUAAAGCCAAUCAAUGGAAAAUAAGUUUACACUCUACAUAUUUGAAAACACAGACUUUGACCAUCUUCAUCCACUGAGGAAACACAGCACUACAAACACAGAAGCAGAUUUGGUGGAAAUUUCAAACAGGACUGCCUCAUAGUGUGUGAUUGUGUUGACUAUAGCUAAGGACAUUAGUACUAAGUCAUGAUUUUCUCAGGAUGUUGCUGCUCGCUGACUUCAGCUUACAGCAAAUUCCACUUUUGCUGGCUUUGUAUUUAUUUCAUGUAAAGUACAUUUAUGUUUUUGAUCUGUAUUGAAUGUUUUUAAUUGAAUGUCCUCCUCUUCUGUACGUGUGACUGGAUGUGGAUCAGUGGACCACAUCCACAAAUGGCAAAUCUGUGAGGAACAGAGGAGGUCAGCCACCAGUCA
rnacentral:lncRNA from 1 species